rnacentral:ncRNA from 1 species
UAGUAAUUCUAGAGCUAAUACGUGCAACAAACCCCGACUUUUGGGACGCGCGCAUUUAUUAGAUAAAAGGCUGACGUGGGCUCUGCUCGCUGAUCCGAUGAUUCAUGAUAACUCGACGGAUCGCAUGGCCUUUGUGCCGGCGACGCAUCAUUCAAAUUUCUGCCCUAUCAACUUUCGAUGGUAGGAUACGGGCCUACCAUGGUGGUGACG